rnacentral:rRNA from 1 species
GACAGAGGUGCCGAGCGUUAGGCGGAAUCACUGGGCUUAAAGCGUGUGUAGGUGGAUGCCUAAGUACCUUGUGAAAUCCCACGGCUUAACCGUGGAACUGCUCGGUAUACUGGGUGUCUUGAGCCAGCUAGGGGCUACCGGAACAAAUGGUGGAGCGGUGAAAUGCGUAGAUAUCAUUUGGAACGCCAAUGGUGAAAACAGGUAGCUGGGGCUGUGCUGACACUGAGACACGAAAGCCAGGGGAGCAAACGGG